UAGGGAAUAUUGGGCAAUGGAGGCAACUCUGACCCAGCCAUCCCGCGUGCAGGAUGAAGGAUCUAUGGUUCGUAAACUGCUUUUGUUAGGGAAGAAAAAGACUCAUUUAUGAGUAACUGACGGUACCUAACGAAUAAGCACCGGCUAACUCCGUGCCAGCAGCCGCGGUAAUACGGAGGGUGCAAGCGUUAUCCGGAUUCACUGGGUUUAAAGGGUGCGUAGGCGGCUAUAUAAGUCAGUGGUGAAAGCCCGCAGCUCAACUGCGGAACUGCCAUUGAAACUGCAUAGCUUGAAUCUGGUUGAAGUGGGCGGAAUACAUCAUGUAGCGGUGAAAUGCUUAGAUAUGAUGUAGAACACCGAUUGCGAAGGCAGCUCACUAAGCCAACAUUGACGCUGAGGCACGAAAGCGUGGGUAGCGAACAG
rnacentral:rRNA from 1 species